rnacentral:misc_RNA from 1 species
UUUCCGUAGGUGAACCUGCGGAAGGAUCAUUAAAGUUAUAGUCCCCCGGCCCCUCCGGGCUGGGGUCUUCUAUACCACCCUUUGUUUAUUACACCUUUGUUGCUUUGGCAGGCCUGCCCUCGGGCUGCUGGCUCCGGCCGGCUCGUGCCUGCCAGAGGACCUAAACUCUGUUUGUAUAUGAAGUCUGAGUACUAUAUAAUAGUUAAAACUUUCAACAACGGACCUCUUGGUUCUG